CCCCUCUCAAGAUCACAUCUGUAGAGUUUCCAGUACUCUAUUAGUCUCAGCUAUGGGAGGGAGAAUCAGGCAGAGGGAUACACAUUCCAUUCCUAGCUUGGGCAGCAGCUAGCAAGUGGAAGGCAAUCUGCUGCAAGU